rnacentral:rRNA from 1 species
AGAACGAACGCUGGCGGCAUGCCUAACACAUGCAAGUCGAACGAGACCCCAACUUCGGUUGGACGUCUAGUGGCGCACGGGUGCGUAACGCGUGGGAAUCUGCCCUUGGGUUCGGAAUAACAGUUGGAAACGACUGCUAAUACCGGA